rnacentral:rRNA from 1 species
UGUAAGCGUAUACCAAAGUUGUUGCAGUUAAAACGCUCGUAGUCGGAAUUUGGCAGUUCCGGAUGUGUGCGCGUCGUGUGCGCACUUCGCGGGGAUUGCUUUUGUGGUCUUGCGUAGGAUGAGGCACUUUUAUUAGUGAACGUCCUCACGCAACCACUUUUUACUGUGAGAAAAUCAGAGUGCUCAAAGCAGGCAUUUGCCGUGAAUGUAUUAGCAUGGAAUAAUAGAAUAGGACUUGGUUCUAUUUUGUUGGUUUGUUGGGACUGAGUAAUGAUUAAGAGGGACAGUUGGGGGCAUUUGUAUUUCGGUGCUAGAGGUGAAAUUCUUAGAUUACCGAAAGACAAACUGCUGCGAAAGCGUCUGCCAAGGAUGUAUUCAUUGA